CGCAGAGACUGUUGAACAUAUAUUUAGAGAUUGUUCUUCUGUAGAGGAAAUAUGGAGAAUUUUAGAUUUGAGAUGGCCUGAAAAUAUAGCUAAUGCAUCUUUACAAGAAUGAUUUACUUAUAUUUUUUCCAUGGUCCCAAGUACUACAUGCAGAAUUGUGGUUUGUACCCUCUGGUUUAUUUGGUCUGCGAGGAAUAGGCUGAUCCAUGACAAGGUGAUUCUUCUACCACAGGAUGUAUUUAAAAAAGGUUGAGAAUGAUAUGAAUGAAAAUGACGCAAUGCAGAAUAAGUUACCUGUCGGAAGGAUAGAGUAUGAGAGGUGGAGGCCCCCGGAUUCUCCUUUUCUUAAAAUAAAUUAUGAUGUUGCCUUCAAUGGAAAAGAAAUGAGGUCAUGUACAGGGAUUGUUGUCAGAAAUGGAGGGGGUCAAGUGGUGGGUUCGAGAGAAAUUGUUAAUUGCCACAGACCUACGGGGUUUGCAACGGAUGCCCUCGUUUGUCUUCAAGCGAUGAGCUUGGGGGUUGAUUUAGGAUUUCGAGAGGUGAUUCUGGAAGGUAAUGCGCUGUCGAUGAUUAAAAAAAUGAGAUCAUGC
rnacentral:lncRNA from 1 species